GACAGAGGUGCCGAGCGUUAGGCGGAAUCACUGGGCUUAAAGCGUGUGUAGGCGGACCCAUAAGUACCUUGUGAAAUCCCACGGCUCAACCGUGGAACGGCUGGGUAUACUGCGGGUCUUGAGCAACCUAGGGGCAGACGGAACAAGUGGUGGAGCGGUGAAAUGCGUAGAUAUCACUUGGAACGCCGACGGUGAAAACAGCUCGCUGGGGGUUUGCAGACGCUGAGACACGAAAGCCAGGGGAGCGAACGGG
rnacentral:rRNA from 1 species